GUUUCAAUUCCUCAUAGGCAGGCUAUCGGCGCAGGUCAAACGGAACUCGAAUAUCUCACUUAUCGG
rnacentral:sRNA from 1 species